UAUAUACUCCCUUCGUCUCAAAAUUCUUGUCUUAGAUUUGUCUAAGUACGGAUGUAUCAAGUAUACAUCCGUACUUAGACAAAUCUAAAACAAGAAUUUUGAAACGGAGGGAGUAUGUU
rfam:Triticum aestivum genome assembly, contig: Triticum_aestivum_CS42_TGACv1_scaffold_405425_5BL